rnacentral:rRNA from 1 species
AUUGAACGCUGGCGGCAGGCUUAACACAUGCAAGUCGAACGAGUGGCGGACGGGUGAGUAAUGCUUGGGAAUCUAGCUUAUGGAGGGGGAUAACUACGGGAAACUGUAGCUAAUACCGCGUACCAUAGGAUGAGCCCAAGUGGGAUUAGCUAGUAGGUGGGGUAAUGGCUCACCUAGGCGACGAGCCCUAGCGGGUCUGAGAGGAUGACCAGCCACACUGGAACUGAGACACGGUCCAGACUCCUACGGGAGGCAGCAGUGGGGAAUAUUGCACAAUGGGGGCAACCUGACGCAGCCAUGACGCGUGAAUGAAGAAGGCCUUCGGGUUGUAAAGUUCUUUCGGUAGCGAGGCGUUAACUACAGAAGAAGCACCGGCUAACUCCGUGCCAGCAGCCGCGGUAAUAC